rnacentral:lncRNA from 1 species
CACCAUUUUCAAGUGUUUCCCAAAAGAUUAGCAAACCUAUCCUGAGAGAUAUCUGUGGUUUAUUUUGCUUUAUUUUGAAGAAAGAAAAUGAGAUAAAAAGAAGUGAAAUUGGGGGAAUUCAUGUCAGCGUUUUCUGGUUUUAGGCUUAGUUUAUUGGAAUCUGUUAAAUGGAUAAGUGAGCUGUUUGCAAAAGGCUGUUUGGCAAAAUGCAAUCAAGUUGUAAUGUUUCCAGGCUUUUUCCUCCAAUUUACAAUGUCAGGCUGUAAAAUAGGUAACCAGGUGGCAUUAUGCCACAUCAGUCCUCAAAUCUGGAGAGUGAGAUAGAGAGAAACAUGCUGUUUGCCUCUGAAGUGCUAGCAAUUGAUUCCAAAGGAUCCCUGAGCUUGUCGUUGAUAGGAGGAAGCUCUUACUCAGAUGUAAGGACACUGUCUUGGAGAUCAUGGUCUUGGCCUCAAAUCCAGGCAAGUAUUAGAUAUCACUGUGCAUAGAACUUUCCCCCAGGCAUUUAGGAGGGGCUGGGAACCUUCAGUAGCUCUGUGCCUGUUUACCCCCUUGAGAAGGGGUUUCUCCAUGCUUUUUGGGGGAAAAAGGCUGGUGAAAGCAAAUGCCAAAAUGUGGCAACACAUUAAAGCUAGCAAAGCUUAAUCUUGCAGUUAGUCAUUCUUGUUCUUACAGAAAAGCUCCUAACAGUUGCAACACAAGCAUUUGUGUGACCUUGUGGCAUACUAUAUUGGAAAAAUUGCUUUUUUUUUUUUUUUCCCAGGGGCUGUUUUUCAGCUGGAUCAGUUCUCUGAUCUGGUUCACCAUGUGGCUGCACAAACAUUUAUGAUGGCACAGUACAACAGAUGAUCUGGGUGAAGAUGUGGGAGUGGGAGAAAGCAGGGACUGCUUCAUUGGAAAUUUUGCAUGCUUGAAAGAAUACCAAAUUGCAGCUCAAGGAAGAAAGGAUUUGAAGCAGGAUGACACAUCGGAGAAGAGGGUUGAAGGAUAUGCCUAAUUCCCCAGAAACGAAAACUUGGCUUAAAAUGCCAAAUGGUGCAAUUACAGGAGGUGAAGAUCAGCCGGCACAGCCACUUCCAAAUAAUGCCAUCUGCAGAAAAAGGCAAUGCACUUUUCAACAUGACUGUGAAGAGGAAUUGCCAUUCUCUAGCCUUGCUCAGACAGAACACGUGCUUCAUGAGAAUGUCUGUCUCAUGAAGGUGCUUGUUCAGGAGUGGUAGUGGAAGCCCAACUCCAAUCCAUGUUGGUAUUUAUGGUCCGAAACAUCAGUCCUACCCACAAUAGGAGAUUUCACCACAAAAUAUCUAACUGGUUGCCCUAGUGUAGAUAGGUGGAUCUCGGGCACCUUCUGCUGCUUUUGCCACAGAGGUGAUAGUUGUGGUUGCAGUGUCUUCGCCAUUCAUGCCAAAGAGUUGCUUUUGCAAGAGAUACUCCUCCAGAUCUACUGUGUAAACAGAACUGAAAGGUAAACCAUUGGUAUCAUUUGUGCCAUCUAUAUUCUCAGUAUCUCCCUGAAUCCUCAUCCUAGAGGAAGCGAUGUUUAAC